UUGAACUCUGGUCUCAAAUCAGGUAGGGCUACCCGCUGAACUUAAGCAUAUCAAUAAGCGGAGGA
rnacentral:rRNA from 1 species